GACGGGGGACGCAAGUGUUAUCCGGAAUCACUGGGCGUAAAGCGUCUGUAGGUGGUUUAAAAAGUCUACUGUUAAAGCUUGAAGCUUAACUUCAAAAAUGCCGUAGAAACUUUUAAACUUGAGUAUGGUAGGGGUAGAGGGAAUUUCCAGUGGAGCGGUGAAAUGCGUAGAUCUUGGAAAGACCACCAAUGGCGAAGGCACUCUACUGGGCCAUUACUGACACUAAGAGACGAAAGCUAGGGGAGCAAAUGGG
rnacentral:rRNA from 1 species